rnacentral:rRNA from 1 species
UACAGAGGUCCCAAGCGUUGUUCGGAUUUACUGGGCGUAAAGGGCGCGUAGGCGGUUGGGCAAGUUUGAUGUGAAAUCUCCGGGCUUAACCCGGAAAUGGCAUUGAAUACUAUUCGGCUAGAGGUUUGGAGGGGGGACUGGAAUUCUUGGUGUAGCAGUGAAAUGCGUAGAUAUCAAGAGGAACACCAGUGGCGAAGGCGAGUCCCUGGACAACACCUGACACUGAGGCACGAAAGCUAGGGGAGCAAACAGG